UGUUGGGGGCAAGUGGGUUGUUAUUCUUGGCUUAAAUGGGUCAGCAUCCUGUUCUAUAGCAGGAGGUCAUGUGUGGGCCGAAUCAUAUUCGAAAUGACACGAGGCUGGGUUGGACCUAGUCAUGUUCGAAGUGGCAUGGAUUGGUUGGACCGAGUCACAAUCGAGACCCGUGAACGCUGUAUCUGUACGUUUUAAGUGAAUUAGUUGGGUAUUUCUAACAGUUCGAGCUUUUGGGAUUAAUGGUUAGCGCCAACGAUCCAAUAGUUAUUAGUAGGGUUGUCGGCAAGUUGAACACGAGCG
rnacentral:lncRNA from 1 species